UACGUAGGGGGGCUAGCGUUGUCCGGAUUUAUUGGGCGUAAAGAGCGUGUAGGCGGCCAUGUAGGUCCGGUGUGAAAACUCGAGGCUUAACCUCGAGAUGUCAUCGGAAACCAUUUGGCUAGAGUCCGGAAGAGGAGAGUGGAAAUUCCUGGUGUAGCGGUGAAAUGCGCAGAUAUCAGGAAGAACACCAAUGGCGAAAGCAGCUCUCUGGGACGGUACUGACGCUGAGACGCGAAAGCGUGGGAGCGAACAGG
rnacentral:rRNA from 1 species